CUCUACGAGAUGGAAACACCACAACUCCUCUUGCAUCCGCUUCCCCCAUCGGUAGUCCAUCGACUUCGCUCCACCCCAUGUCGAGCCCAUUCAUGGAUCAAUCCUCGCCCACUGCCAAUGUCCAAGCGGUCUCAAGAAGGGUCUCCGACGGCCUGCUCACCAAAUUCCCGGACACGUCGGAGUUCGACUUCGAGUACGAGAAGAGCAGCCUGUGGUCGCCUCCGGUGCGGUGCGCCACCUCCCUGAGCUCCGAAGGUGAAGUGCUUGCCGAACUGAGGGCCUCUACUGCUGGGCGCCGUCGUAGCCCAUUGAACAAGGUCUUCCGGUGCUUCCACAGCGAAGAAGGUCGGUGGCAUGGAGGUCGAUGAGCUUCUGAACAUAGUUUGCAUGCGGUCAAUGAUUUCUUUAGGCUUGAUCUCAGAUGCUUUUUUUUUGGACUCUAAGAAACAUCUCUAUCCCCAAAAUCAUCUUUUGAUUUUGAAACCUAUCAGACUUCAAAGGAAUAAAAUAUUUAUAUGUGAAUGUGAGUCUCAAUGAUGUCUCUGUCUCCAGAUACAUUCUUGCUGGAUGCAAGAUGCAAUGAUUAUAAACGUCUAACAAUUAGAGUUGUA